AAACUUAAGAAGUAGAAGCUAUUUACAAGCAGCUUUCUGGGUGAGACAUAUCAGACUAUCUGUGCAAACACUCCUUCAAGAUGUCAAUUACAAGCUCUCCUGUGCUAGUGCAGAAACAUUAAUGGAGGAGCCACAAGCUACCACUUGCAGCUGCAGUCCUGCUGUUUGAGGACCAAUCCAUCAGACAGCAGUGGAACAUCACCUCUCAUAUUCUGGACAGGCAGGCUCUUCAAAAUGUUUUCCAAGAAAAUGAUCUGCAUAGAGUUCUGUAAAAAUCUAAUCUUACCCCAUUAACCAAUAGCUUAUAACUAGACCAGGAAAAAAAAAAAAUCAGGUAUAAUAGCUCUUUGACAAAUGGGGUAGCACUUAGUCAAUUCAUUUAUCUAUCUACUAAAUGGUUGCUUUAAACCCAAGAGCCUCACCUCUUAACUCCCUGGUUAAUGUUUUCAGAUGACAUGCCAAAUGUGUCCAUUUUAUAAAACUACAUUAAAAUUAGAGAGGGGAAAAUCUGGUAAUCUUGGUUAAACAUGGUUGUUUCAUAAAGAAUAAUACUGAAAUUGUAUUAACAAAGCUUCAAGAAUGUUCUGACAUUAAAAGGACUGAUACUCACUCUCCA